rnacentral:rRNA from 1 species
UACGGAGGGUGCGAGCGUUGUCCGGAUUUAUUGGGCGUAAAGAGCGUGUAGGCGGCUAGGUAGGUCCGUUGUGAAAACUCGAGGCUCAACCUCGAGACGCCGAUGGAAACCAUCUAGCUAGAGUCCGGAAGAGGAGAGUGGAAUUCCUGGUGUAGCGGUGAAAUGCGCAGAUAUCAGGAAGAACACCCGUGGCUAAGGCGGCUCUCUAGUACGGUACUGACGCUGAGACGCGAAAGCGUGGGGAGCGUACAGG